rnacentral:rRNA from 1 species
AGAGUUUGAUCCUGGCUCAGGAUGAACGCUGGCGGCGUGCUUAACACAUGCAAGUCGAACGAUUAACCCAAACUUCGGUUUGGUUAUAAAGUGGCGAACGGGUGAGUAACACGUGACCAACCUGCCUUCUAGAUCGGGAUAACUCAAGGAAACUUGUGCUAAUACCGGAUACUCCGGAGCAAUCGCAUGGUAGCUCCGGGAAAGCUUUUGCGCUAGAAGAUGGGGUCGCGGCCUAUUAGGUAGUUGGUGGGGUAGAGGCCUACCAAGCCUGCGAUAGGUAGCCGGGUUGAGAGACUGAUCGGCCACAUUGGGACUGAGAUACGGCCCAGACUCCUACGGGAGGCAGCAGUGGGGAAUUUUGCGCAAUGGGGGCAACCCUGACGCAGCAACGCCGCGUGCGGGAUGAAGGUCUUCGGAUUGUAAACCGCUUUCAGUAGGGAAUAAGUAUGAAGGUACCUACAGAAGAAGCACCGGCUAAAUACGUGCCAGCAGCCGCGGUAAUACGUAUGGUGCAAGCGUUAUCCGGAAUCAUUGGGCGUAAAGCGCGCGUAGGCGGCUUGUUAAGCAGGAAUUUAAAUCUUAGGGCUCAACCUUAAGUCGGUUCCUGAACUGGCAGGCUCGAGUGCGGUAGAGGAAGGUGGAAUUCCCAGUGUAGCGGUGAAAUGCGCAGAUAUUGGGAAGAACACCGAUGGCGAAGGCAGCCUUCUGGGCCGCCACUGACGCUGAGGCGCGAAAGCUAGGGGAGCGAACAGGAUUAGAUACCCUGGUAGUCCUAGCCGUAAACGAUGGGCACUAGGUGUGGGGAGGAAUUCUCUCCGUGCCGCAGCUAACGCAUUAAGUGCCCCGCCUGGGGAGUACGGCCGCAAGGCUAAAACUCAAAGGAAUUGACGGGGGCCCGCACAAGCAGCGGAGCAUGUGGCUUAAUUCGAAGCAACGCGAAG